rnacentral:rRNA from 1 species
GAUGAACGCUGGCGGCGUGCCUAAUACAUGCAAGUCGAGCGAACAGACGAGGAGCUUGCUCCUCUGACGUUAGCGGCGGACGGGUGAGUAACACGUGGAUAACCUCCCUAUAAGACUGGGAUAACUACGGGAAACCGGAGCUAAUACCGUAUAAUAUAUUGAACCGCGUGGUGCAAUAGUGAAAGACGGUUGUGGUGUCACUUAUAGAUGGAUCCGCGCCGUAUUAGCUAGUUGGGCGGGUAACGGCUUAUCAAGGCGAGGAUGCGUUGCCGACGUGAGUGGGUGGUCGGCCGCCUGGGAACUGGACCGCGGUCCUGGCUCCUACGGGACGCACCAGUCGGGAAUGUUCCGCAGUGGUCGGGAGCCUGACGGAGCAACGCCACGUGAGUGGCAGAGGUGUUCGGAUCGUAAAGCUGUGUUAUUAGUGAAGAACAAAUGUCUAAGUUACUAUGCACGUAUUGACGGUACCUAAUAAGAAAGCAACGGCUAACUACGUG